rnacentral:rRNA from 1 species
AACGAACGCUGGCGGCAGGCCUAACACAUGCAAGUCGAACGCUCGUAGCAAUACGAGAGUGGCAGACGGGUGAGUAACGCGUGGGAACCUUCCCAGUGGUACGGAAUAGCUCAGGGAAACUUGAGGUAAUACCGUAUACGCCCUUCGGGGGAAAGAUUUAUCGCCAUUGGAUGGGCCCGCGUCGGAUUAGCUAGUUGGUGGGGUAAUGGCUCACCAAGGCGACGAUCCGUAGCUGGUCUGAGGGGAUGAUCAGCCACACUGGGACUGAGACACGGCCCAGACUCCUACGGGAGGCAGCAGUGGGGAAUAUUGGACAAUGGGCGCAAGCCUGAUCCAGCCAUGCCGCGUGAGUGACGAAGGCCCUAGGGUUGUAAAGCUCUUUUGGCGGGGAAGAUAAUGACGGUACCCGCAGAAUAAGCUCCGGCUAACUUCGUGCCAGCCGCCGCCGUAAAAC